UUCUUUUCAUCAUAAUAUUCAAUUCAAAAACCACAUCAGCAUGAUUAUAUGAAGAGUUCUUGAUUAUAGAAUUAGAAUUAAAAUAGAAGAGAGAGAGAGAGAGAGAGAGAACACACCGGGAAUGCCACAUCUUCUAAUUUAUGCCUGAGCUUGCUCAAAGCCUCAACCUAGCGACCAGUUAGCUCUAGACUCUCAAUUGCAUUUCUUAAUGGCUUGGGUCAAUAAUUAUUGGCUUCCUCUCUUAUUCCUGAAAAUUGGUAUCAAAAUAUCAGGACAUUAGGCACACAAAACAAAAACAUCUAAGAAUGAAAUUAAACAACACCACCACCUACAUUUUCUUACCCAAGGGACUGCUACGGUGAGUGAAACUGAUAUCCUUGGAACCUCAGGAAAGGCUUAGAUCAGAUCUGCAAAUUGGAAAGUUUCAUCCACUUUGAGUGAGUCAUAAAAUAUGCAAUCACAAUAGACAAAACACAAAACCCACUAAUGAGUCCCAUUGGCAUUGGAAAUUUUACCAACCACCUGUAAUGCUUAUGCUUAUCUAAUACCAAAAGAGCAAAAAGAUAGCUUGGAGAUGAAAAAUAUUAAAAAGGGAUUUUC
rnacentral:lncRNA from 1 species